rnacentral:rRNA from 1 species
GACGACGCUGGCGGCGUGCUUAACACAUGCAAGUCGAGCGGUAAGGCCCCUUCGGGGGUACACGAGCGGCGAACGGGUGAGUAACACGUGAGCAAUCUGCCCUUCACUUUGGGAUAACUCUGGGAAACGAGAGCUAAUACCGAAUACGACCACUUCAGGCAUCUGAUGGUGGUGGAAAGUUCCGGCGGUGAAGGAUGAGCUCGCGGCCUAUCAGCUAGUUGGUGGAGUAACGGCCCACCAAGGCUUCGACGGGUAGCCGGCCUGAGAGGGUGACCGGCCACACUGGGACUGAGACACGGCCCAGACUCCUACGGGAGGCAGCAGUGGGGAAUAUUGGACAAUGGGCGAAAGCCUGAUCCAGCAACGCCGCGUGAGGGAUGACGGCCUUCGGGUUGUAAACCUCUUUCAGUAGGGACGAAGCGCAAGUGACGGUACCUACAGAAGAAGCACCGGCCAACUACGUG